rnacentral:rRNA from 1 species
AGUGAACGUUGGCGGCGUGGAUUAGGCAUGCAAGUCGAGCGAGAACCGUAGCAAUACGGGGACAGCGGCGAAAGGGACAGUAAUGUGUAGGUACCUACCCCGAGGUCUGGGAUAGCUGCGGGAAACUGCAGGUAAUACCGGAUAAUGUCUCCGGACCAAAGGUGUGAUUGCACCUUGGGAGGGGCCUGCAUCCUAUUAGCUAGUUGGCGGGGUAAUGGCCCACCAAGGCGACGAUGGGUAGCGGGUGUGAGAGCACGACCCGCGUCAUUGGGACUGAGACAUGGCCCAGACACCUGCGGGUGGCUGCAGUCGAGGAUCUUCGGCAAGGGGCGAAGGCCUGGCCGGGCGAAGCCGCGUGCGGGAUGAAGGCCUUCGGGUUGUAAACCGCUGUCAUAGAGGAGGAAAUGCAGGUGGGUUCUCCAAUCUGUUUGACCUAUUCUAGGAGGAAGUACGGGCUAAGUUCGUGCAAGCAGCCGCCGUAA